rnacentral:misc_RNA from 1 species
GAUGAAGAACGUAGCGAAAUGCGAUAAUUAAUGUGAAUUGCAGAAUUCCGUGAAUCAUCGAAUCUUUGAACGCACAUUGCGCCUGCCAGCACUCUGGCAGGCAUGCCUGUUCGAGCGUCAUUUCAACCAUCAAGCCCUAGGCUUGCGUUGGAGCCCUGCGGCUGCCGCAGGCCCCUAAAAGCAGUGGCGGGCUCGCUAUCACACCGAGUGCAGUAGAUUACUCUUCGCUCAGGGCGUGUGGCGGGUUCCAGCCGUGAAACCCCUACUUCUCAAGGUUGACCUCGGAUCAGGUAGGAAUACCCGCUGAACUUAAGCAUAUCAAUAAGCGGAGGA